rnacentral:rRNA from 1 species
GGCCUUCGGGUUGUAAAGCCCUUUUGUUGGGAAAGAAAUCCAGCUGGCUAAUACCCGGUUGGGAUGACGGUACCCAAAGAAUAAGCACCGGCUAACUUCGUGCCAGCAGCCGCGGUAAUACGAAGGGUGCAAGCGUUAAUCGGAAUUACUGGGCGUAAAGCGCGCGUAGGUGGUUUGUUAAGUUGAAUGUGAAAGCCCCGGGCU